rnacentral:lncRNA from 1 species
UUGUUAGGUUUAUAUCCGAAGCAUACGAAAUCCUAAUCAAAAAUGUGCUCAAUGAUAAAAUAAUUAAAAAGAAAAUUCUCAAAUAAAUAUUUGCACAGAUAAAGAACAAAAAUUAAACAGUUUUGUGUACAUAGGGGUUAAGUGUAGUUUCGUGUUGAGUAUAUAACAGAGCAAGUGCAGACACAGUUCAUCUUGUUCAGGCAUUCCUACCACAGAUCUUCUAACUUCUCCAUAUUACUACAUAAACCUUAUCAACAUGAAGGCUGUAUUCGCUGUCUUACUCGUCGUGGCUAUCAUGAGCGUGAUGUACGAAUACGUACAGUGCUCAGUAAUCACUGAUGUGUUGGGGGAUUUAAACAAUGUUGUCGGAAAUCUCGUUGAGGGACUAAACUCUACAGGGCAGCAGCUAGCGAAGGAUGUAGUGGGUGACCCUUCGAGCUAGACUAAAUACUGGAUCAUCGACAUUGUUUGCUGCACUGAAGUAGAAUCAACGAGUAGAAACAUGUACACCAAAAAUACUCAACAUCUCAAACGGGCUGUUUAACUACCAAUCUUUGCCUAUGGGGACAAAUUGAA